rnacentral:rRNA from 1 species
CGGAGGGAUCAUUGCUGGAACGCGCCUCGGCGCACCCAGAAACCCUUUGUGAACUUAUACCCAUACUGUUGCCUCGGCGCAGGCCGGCCUUUUUCGAUAAAGGCCCCCUGGAGACAGGGAGCAGCCCGCCGGCGGCCAACCAAACUCUGUUUCUAUAGUGAAUCUCUGAGUAAAAAAACAUAAAUGAAUCAAAACUUUCAACAACGGAUCUCUUGGUUCUGGCAUCGAUGAAGAACGCAGCGAAAUGCGAUAAGUAAUGUGAAUUGCAGAAUUCAGUGAAUCAUCGAAUCUUUGAACGCACAUUGCGCCCUCUGGCAUUCCGGAGGGCAUGCCUGUUCGAGCGUCAUUUCAACCCUCAAGCCUGGCUUGGUGAUGGGGCACUGCCCGUGAAAGGGCAGGCCCUGAAAUCUAGUGGCGAGCUCGCCAGGACCCCGAGCGCAGUAGUUACAUCUCGCUCUGGAAGGCCCUGGCGGUGCCCUGCCGUAAAACCCCCAACUUCUGAAAAUUUGACCUCGGAUCAGGUAGGAAUACCCGCUGAACUUAAGCAUAUCAAUAAGCGGAGGAAAAGAAACCAACAGGGAUUGCCCUAGUAACGGCGAGUGAAGCGGCAACAGCUCAAAUUUGAAAUCUGGCCUCGGCCCGAGUUGUAAUUUGCAGAGGAUGCUUCUGGCGCGGUGCCUUCCGAGUUCCCUGGAACGGGACGCCACAGAGGGUGAGAGCCCCGUAUGGUCGGACACCAAGCCUGUGUGAAGCUCCUUCNACGAGUCNAGUAGUUUGGGAAUGCUGCUCUAAAUGGGAGGUAAAUCUCUUCUAAAGCUAAAUACCGGCCAGAUACCGAUACCCCACAAUUAGAGUGAUCGAAAG